GCAAACAUAAUGCUCAAAGGCUGGUAUUCCCUGCAAGAUACUAUGAAGUGGACAGAGUUUGAGCUCUGGAGUAAGUGGAGAUGUCAGGCACAGUUGUGCCAGUUGGAAACUGCACAAGGCCAUCCCAGCAAGACUGAGAGUGGAGACUGAAAUCCAGCCUGUUCACUGGUCAGAGAGCCCCAUCCUCCUAGAAGAGAGUGUCUUCUGCUAAUUUGCAUACAAGUGGUAUAAAGGAUUGUGAUGAGGAAACUAAGGUCCAGAGAGGUGAGUAGCUUGUCUAGAGCCAUUCUGCUGGUUAGUUGAAGGAAGGAGUCCAGUGCCAGCCACAGAACUAUAAUUCUCUGCCCUCACUGUCUGGUAAGAAGAACAGAUGUUAGACAGGCAACUCCAACAGCGAUGAUGGGGUUGCUAAUAUAUAAACAAGCAAACCUCAAGGAUCCAGAAGCAGCACUGAUAUUCAAUGGAAGACACUGAAAGCUGCCACUAAAUGGUGGUAUUUUUGGUGACAUUUAAUAUUGCUUUCUUGUUCUAAAGCUGGCCUUGAGCAGGCCUUCUAGUGUAUUUCCAUGGGCCUGCCCACUGCAUCAGCUCCGAGCUCUGGCUAUACAUGGGGCAGACCUCUGUCUUGCUUGGUUUUAGCAUGAGGACGUGAGUUAAGUAGGGUAAUCAAGUGAAGGCCAGGGCUUCUGCUCAUGGUUUCAAGCUGAGAAGUUUCUUCUUCCUCUUUCUUGUAUGUGUGGUACACGUCCAUGGAGCUGAACCGCUGUUACUGUUUGGCCACCAGUAAAGCUGUUCAAAAAGCAAAGCCAAUCUAGGGAGGGCAGUGUGGCCCAAAAGAGCUACAGGGAAAUGGAACUGGAGCCUAGACCUAAAGUCCAAAAGUCUACUGGACAUUUUCAAGGAGUCAGGGAUUUCCUUUAUUGCUUUAGACGUCUAGAGAUAGGUUUUCUGUUAUUUGUCACUCAAAGCAUUCCAACUGAUCCAAAUUCUAUUUUGACAAGAUGUGAAGCUAUCCACAAAGUGUUUUACACUUCCUAUAAUCAGGACCAAGUAUCAAUUGAGGGUCUUCUGUUUUUAUGAGGCAGAAAAACUAGCCCACACAAAUUUAAGCAAAAUAUGGUUUAUCAACUCAAAAUCAUGAAUGGUUAGAGAAUAAAUACAGGCAUAAUAGAGUAUGGGAAUUCAGAUGAAAUCACCAGAACUCCAUUCCAGAUCUUAUGACCGCUUACAUUCAAGUCCAGUGGAAAGGGCAACUUCAUCAUCAGUUAAUCAAGAAAAUCCUGAGGUUUUCUUAGUGGGCUUUGACUCAAGCUCUGUUCCUGUUCCUGGACUAACCACCAUGGCUCACCCAGCACGUGGACUUCUCCAGGAGACUUGGGCCUGCUCCUAUGACUUACCACUGAACCACACAGAGAUCAGCCUCGUGCAAGCACACAGCUCAAAGUGGCAGUAGGUGUUUCCCCCAGAGCUGAACCAGGCAAUCUCAAACUAGGCAACAAAACAACAGAUGUCACCUACAGCUCACUUGAAAAUGCCUCUCCAACAUUUCUAACAUUACAUGUAUAUGCAACAGGUGGGCUUAACAGACAAUGUUUAUCAUGACUAUGAAUUCCUUUCCUGGGUUUGCCAGGCUAAAAUCAGAAACAGUUUCUGUGGGUGAUUUUCUUCUUCCACAACUGUGUUUAUUUUUUCAACAAGUAUUUUCAGAGCACUAAUGAAGAUGGUGGUAAUAGUAAUCACACUUACUAAACAUUCAUGUCAUACACACAUUAUCUCAUCAGUCUUCAUGCAGGCAACAUGUGGCAAGGUCUACAGACAGUUUGGAUUGUUAUAACUUGGUAGGUGCCACUGGCAUCUAAUGGGUAAAGGCCUUGAAAGUUUCUGAUCCCUUUCAGUGCACAAGACAUUCCCCCACAGCAAAGAAUUGCCCAGCCCCAGAUGUCAGUGGUGCCAACAUCAAACCCUAUACUAGCUGUUAUGGUUUGUGUCUAGAUGUCCCCCCAAAGCCUCAUUCAG